rnacentral:rRNA from 1 species
GAUGAACGCUAGCUACAGGCUUAACACAUGCAAGUCGAGGGGAAACGACAUCGAAAGCUUGCUUUUGAUGGGCGUCGACCGGCGCACGGGUGAGUAACGCGUAUCCAACCUGCCCAUCACUUGGGAAUAACCUUGCGAAAGUAAGACUAAUACCCAAUGAUAUCCCACGAAGGCAUCGGAAUGGGAUUAAAGAUUUAUCGGUGAUGGAUGGGGAUGCGUCUGAUUAGCUUGUUGGCGGGGUAACGGCCCACCAAGGCAACGAUCAGUAGGGGUUCUGAGAGGAAGGUCCCCCACAUUGGAACUGAGACACGGUCCAAACUCCUACGGGAGGCAGCAGUGAGGAAUAUUGGUCAAUGGGCGAGAGCCUGAACCAGCCAAGUAGCGUGCAGGAAGACGGCCCUAUGGGUUGUAAACUGCUUUUAUAAGGGAAUAAAGUGGGUCACGUGUGACUUUUUGCAUGUACCUUAUGAAUAAGGACCGGCUAAUUACGUG